CAGCCCUUGACAUCCCGGUCGCGGUUUCCAGAGAUGGAAUCCUUCAGUUCGGCUGGACCGGUGACAGGUGCUGCAUGGCUGUCGUCAGCUCAUGUCGUGAGAUGUUGGGUUAAGUCCCGCAACGAGCGCAACCCUCGCCCUUAGUUGCCAUCAUUAAGUUGGGCACUCUAAGGGGACUGCCGGUGAUAAGCCGAGAGGAAGGUGGGGAUGACGUCAAGUCCUCAUGGCCCUUACGGGCUGGGCUACACACGUGCUACAAUGGUGGUGACAGUGGGCAGCGAGACCGCGAGGUCGAGCUAAUCUCCAAAAGCCAUCUCAGUUCGGAUUGCACUCUGCAACUCGAGUGCAUGAAGUUGGAAUCGCUAGUAAUCGCGGAUCAGCAUGCCGCGGUGAAUACGUUCCCGGGCCUUGUACACACCGCCCGUCACACCAUGGGAGUUGGUUUUACCCGAAGGCGCUGCGCUAACCGCAAGGAGGCAGGCGACCACGGUAGGGUCAGCGACUGGGGUG
rnacentral:rRNA from 1 species